UCGUAACAAGGUGAAGAAGAAUGUGAACAUGAAGUAGGAUCAUUA
rnacentral:rRNA from 1 species